rnacentral:rRNA from 1 species
UACGUAGGGUGCAAGCGUUAAUCGGAAUACUGGGCGUAAAGCGUGCGCAGGCGGUGAUGUAAGACAGGUGUGAAAUCCCCGGGGCUUAACCUGGGAACUGCAUUUGUGACUGCAUCGCUGGAGUGCGGCAGAGGGGGAUGGAAUUCCGCGUGUAGCAGUGAAAUGCGUAGAUAUGCGGAGGAACACCGAUGGCGAAGGCAAUCCCCUGGGCCUGCACUGACGCUCAUGCACGAAAGCGUGGGGAGCAAACAGG